CAGCCGCCACGGUAAUACGAAGGGUGCAAGCGUUACUCGGAAUUACUGGGCGUAAAGCGUGCGUAGGCGGUGAGUUAAGUCUGCUGUGAAGUCCCCGGGCUCAACCUGGGAAUUGCAGUGGAUACUGGGUCACUAGAGUGUGGUAGAGGAUAGUGGAAUUUCCGGUGUAGCAGUGAAAUGCGUAGAGAUCGGAAGGAACAUCUGUGGCGAAGGCGACUAUCUGGGCCAACACUGACACUGAGGCACGAAAGCGUGGGGAGCAAACAGGAUUAGAUACCCGUGUAGUCCCUGUCUCUUAUAA
rnacentral:rRNA from 1 species